GUUUUAACCAAUUUCAGCAAUUUCAAGAAUGAUACACACGUGGAAUACAAAUGUUUUAUUUCAUGAACGUUAGUGUUUAUUACUGGGGAGUAAUCGUACUAUAAAACUUUGCUUUAGCGAUGUGAUUGAAUCUUUCUUCACAACAAUACCUUGAACUAAAUGAAAACCGUAAAAUAUGCGAUUUUUUACGUAAUCUUUGAACGCGAUUUGUUGUUAGAAAAAGUAAAUCUGUGAAAAAUUGAUAACAGCAUUCAAAAGUGCAAACUUUCAGCUUUCCAACGCUUUUUUUUAGCGCUGUACGUUGAUUUCAUGAGUAACAAGCGAUGAAAGUCAAAAUGAGCAUUUUUUAUUAAAAUCUCAAUAACUCGGUCAAAAAAAAUCGUACAGCAAUGAACAACCACUCAAAUUAAAGGAAAAAGUUCCCGCUCUAAGAUACAUACUCUAUGAUCAAGAGGCACGGUAGUGCCUCGCGCUAAGUGUAUGCGCAGCGAGGCACCACCGUGCUUCUUUUACGCGAGACGUCGUUUGCGAGAAGACCGUAGUUAUCGGAUCUCAAUAACGACUUAAUUGAUUGAUUUCUAAAUAGGCUUAAUGGAUAGCUUACAUCCGAUUUAUAUAAUAAAAGUGUUUUUAUUUUUCCGCUAUAUGACUUACGAGCGGAGAUAUCGCGAUUAGAAUUUUUCGCUCAAGAGUAAAUUUGGUUUAAGAAACGUCGUAGUCAUCAUCAUUAUUAUCGUCGUCGCCCGGCGCCUAGGACGAAUGGUGGGGAUUUGUACUGUUGUAUCCUCCUUUAUUUUUUGUGCUCACACAUUUGACAACAAGGAUGAACGAUGCACCAUGCGCCAUGAAACGGAACGCACCAUGUGUAUCGUGAUUGGUGAAGAUAAUCGAAUCCGCGCCGCCGCGUGUCGAUCAGGGGCUGUAAUCUCUUAUGUAUUUUUCGUGACCAGCGUUUGUUGCGCCACCGCUGUAAGCGAACCCGCCGAACCGAACUAAAAUGCAAUAUGGCCGUCUAAAAUCAACAUGGCCGUAGUAAUGAGUUCCGUUCAACAAGCAAAGUGAAGCAAAGCUUACGAGCGAAGAAGGAGGUUAUUUCUUACGAACGGAAUAAUUUAAAACUGAUGACACCAGUAGCUGUUCUUAUGUGUACACCAGCCUUCGACACCAUAUAGAAUAAAGAUGCUGUCAGAGGAGUUAGAUGAGGGAGCUACAACCAAGAAAAAGCAAUCUGUGAUCACAUUACUUAGCUUCGACAAACGAUGACCUAAGUUCAACUGAUUGUAGGCUCUUACGUCCACGUGGAAUCAGCUGCUCCUUUGCAACUUGCAACAGGCUAAGGCUGCGUUCCGAUAUUAAUUGUCAGUACUGAAAAUCUACAGUAUAUGUGACAUAAACUAUAGAUUUUCAGUACUGGCAGUGAAUAUCGAAACGCAGCCUAAGUUACGAAGAAGCAGCUGAUUCCACAUGAACGUAAGAAAGAGGCUACAAUCAGUUGAACUUUGGUCAUCGUUUGUCGAAGCUAAUGGGUGUCAAGACAAAUCACUUGAAUGCAAACUACUUUCCAGUAUGUUGUAGCAUAAGAAAGCAAGAAAAUUGUAUUGGAGGAGAAACAACGUGAUUUAGAGAAUAAGGUGCUCUGUCACAUAGAAUGUAAUUCUAUUAUAAAAACAUGUAAUGGUUCCAUAAAAUAAAUAAGUUCAAAAAA